rnacentral:rRNA from 1 species
AGCUAAGGUCGUGGCAGGAGGCGGGGGAAUGAGUAGGUGGCCAGGUGUGUCCGGAUUUAUGGGGGUUAAUGCGAGGGCAGGCGGUUCCUUAAGGCUGAUGGGAAAGCCCACGGCUCAACCGUGGAAGGUCAUUGGAAACUGGGGAAGUUGAGUGCAGAAGAGGAGAGUGGAAUUCCAUGUGUAGCGGUGAAAUGCGUAGAUAUAUGGAGGAACACCAGUGGCGAAGGCGACUCUCUGGUCUGUAACUGACGCUGAGGCUCGAAAGCGUGGGGAGCAAACAGGAUUAGAUACCCGGUAGUC